CCAGGGCCGUCCUUCCGCUUUAAAUCUUGCGUGGUUGCUAGGGGCGCUCCGAGCCCUAGGCAUGUGGGGAGAUUCUUCCCUUGGAGAAGGUGUGAACCAGCCCCAAGAUUGGCAAUUGGGAGAACUUCUCCGGAGGAGUUGAUAGGCUCCUUGUACAAUAAUCCCCGCCGGAGUAAAUUGGUCCGGUUUUUCUCCACGCCCUCCACCAGCCCCGCCUUUCGCGGGAUUCCCCGCGCUUCCGGCUCUGGCUCAGUCUUCCAGGCGCUGCGCCGAGAGCUCCGGGACUCGCCGUGGGCGGUGACGGGGUGCGCUGCGAUGGGAACGAGCGGGCGCCUUGGGCGAGUCCGUUUGCCUCAGCCCACCCUACCGUGGUUCGUUUCAGAAAAGUUUGGUGGGCUUCAGUCAGUGGGAAAAGACUCCAAGUUUCCUCCUGGUCAAGCCUUUAGGCUUGGACUGAAACAUCAGCUCUUCUUGGAUCUCGAACCCGCCAACUUUCAGACUGGAAAUCACGCCAUUGGCUUUCCUUGUUCUCAGGCCGUUGGCUUCAGACUGGGAACUACACAUCAGCUCUCCUGGGUCUCCAGCUUGAUGACUGCAGGUCUUGGGACUUCUUGGCCUCCAUACUCAUAUCCCGGGCUAAUACAGAUCUUGACACCAGCCGUGGAAUGUAGCUGUAACAAAUAACUAAAAAUGUGGAAGCUUCUUUGGAACUGGAUAAUGAGUGGAGUUGGAAAAGUUUUAAAGUGCAUGCUACAAAUAUGGACAUUAAGGACAAUUCUGGUGAGACGUCAGAUGGAAAUGAGGAGGACGUUAAUGGAAAUUGUGGGAAAAGUGACCCUUGUUAUAAAGUGGUGAAUAACUUGGCUGAACUGUGUUCUGUUUUGUGCAAGGUAGAAUUUGUGAGUGAUGAAAUUGGAUAUUUAGCUGAGGAGAUUUCUAAGCAAAGUAUUGAAGGAGGGGCUUCGUUCCUCCUGAUUGCUUAUAGUAAAAUGUGAAAGGAGAGAGAUGAAGAAGGAAUUGUUAAGCAAAAAGGAACCAGAACUUGAUGAUUUAGAGAUUUCUCAGCCUAUCCAUAUUGAAAAACAUGAGAAAGCAUGUUCUAAAGAAAAUACCAAUGGCACAACUUGAUUAUCACUUGAUAAAGAGUUUAUGGGAUUAUAUGAGCAGAAAUGCAGCCAAUUUGAACUGAAGGGGAUGAAGAUGGGACCAAACAAAGGAAGGCUGUUGGGCUUAUUGAAUUUGACAAGACAGAAUGAUAGAGCUAUUCAGCUGCACACAUGCACUAUUCUGCAAGAAUAGGGGAAAAUGAUGCCGACAGUGAUUUAGAGAUCAUCAGGGCCACUACACUACCUCAGUUUCAACAGCCUUUGGUGGGGGACUACCCAACAGGACCUUGGGGGUGAUGCUGCCACCUACUGGACCUGGAGGGCAGAGCAUUGAACCAAGUAGGAUUAUUUUAAAGCCUUAAAAUCUGAUGGACUUUGCCUUGCUAAAUUUUGAGCUUGCUUGGGACCAUCACCCCUUUCUUCUCCCUUUUGUAAUGAGAAUGUCUAUCCUAUUACUGUCCCACUAUUGUAUUUUGAAAGUAUAUAACUUGUCUGAUUUCACAAAUUCACAGCUGGAGAGGAAUUUUGCCUCAGGAUGAAUCAAUCAUACCUCCAGUCUCACUCUAUCUGAUUUAGAUGAUAUUCAAAUGAGACUUUAGAUGCUGGAAUAAAUUAAGAGCUUUGGAGAUUUGGGGAUGAAAUGAAUGUAUUUUGUGUGCAAUAAUGAUGUGAAUUUUAGGGGCCACAGGUGGAAUGUUAUAGACUGAAUGUGUCCCCCUCCAAAUUCAUACAUUGAAGCCCUAAUCCCCAAUAUGAUGACAAAGAGGCACCAGAGAGCUCUCUUUCUCUGCCCUGUAAGGAGACAGUGAGAAGGUAGCUGUCUGCAAGUCGGGAAGAGAGCUUUCACCAGAUCCUGAUUAUGCUGGCAUCUUGAUCUCGGACUUCUGGCCUCUAGAACUGUGAGAAAAUAAAUUUCUGUUGUUUAAGCCA